UCUAACUUGUCUGAAGCUUAGAGCUCCUUCCUCAGAGUUGAGUUUUGGUAACCAACAAAGGGAUCCAGAACAGACUUCUCUCCCUCACUUGAACUCUACAAGGAACGGGAGCUUUGGUAUCAGCAGAAGCCCCCUUGACCCUGUUUGCCCUUCCUCAAGAAGUCCAGAUGAGUUAAGAUGUUUUUAUGAAGAUCCUAAAGAAGAUUCAUAAAAAGGACUAUUGGACAAACAAGUUUCUGAUGACUUUUAGAUCAUACUACUAAAAGGGAAAGCCUUUCCUCUUAUGUUGACCUGCAACAAGUUGGUAAUUGUUAUCUUCAUUUACAAAAGGUGUGAUUUAUCUCUACUUGAUCCCUUCAGAAUUUUUCUUCUCCAGCUGCCUCCCCUGUAGACUUGAUGACUUAUUGUGACCAGCUUA